UACGUAGGGUCCGAGCGUUGUCCGGAAUUAUUGGGCGUAAAGGGCUCGUAGGCGGUUUGUUGCGUCGGCUGUGAAAUCCCGAGGCUCAACCUCGGGUCUGCAGUCGAUACGAGCAAACUAGAGUGUUGCAGGGGAGACUGGAAUUCCUGGUGUAGCGGUGAAAUGCGCAGAUAUCAGGAGGAACACCGGUGGCGAAGGCGGGUCUCUGGGCCGAAACUGACGCUGAGGAGCGAAAGCGUGGGGAGCAAACAGG
rnacentral:rRNA from 1 species